UACAGAGACUGCAAGCGUUAUUCGGAUUCACUGGGCGUAAAGGGUGCGCAGGCGGCCAAGUGUGUGAGGCGUGAAAGCCCGGGGCUUAACCCCGGAAUUGCACCUCAAACUACAUGGCUAGAGCAUUGGAGAGGGUAGCAGAAUUCAUGGUGUAGCAGUGAAAUGCGUAGAUAUCAUGAGGAAUACCAGAGGCGAAGGCGGCUACCUGGACAAUUGCUGACGCUCAGGCACGAAAGCGUGGGGAGCAAAUAGG
rnacentral:rRNA from 1 species